UGGGAAGCCUUUUUCUUCACCUUCUUCUUCCUCUGCAAUUUACAUCUAUUGAUGGCCUUUGUAAUCAUGAGUCUUUGUGCCAUCAUUGCUAUGAAAAGCCUCUCUCUCUCUCUCUCUCUCUCUCUCUCCAUGUGCCCAUACAAACACAAUAUCUGAGCUGUAUGACUCUUACUAAUAGCGACUCUCCUAUUUAAAGUCAAGAAGCCCUUCUCUUACAAACCACUUUUUUCUCUCUUAUAGCUUUCACUCUCUCCCUCUCUUUUUAUUGUAGAAUUGAAGUACCUCUUUCUCGAGUCAAGAAACGAAGUUUCAGAGAAAAAAACAAGAUGGUCACUAACACUUUGUCCAUCCCAUGUAAUCCCUUGUCUUCUACUUUUCGACAUCCAAGGCUGUCAAAGAGACACAACCUUAGAGUUCGCCGGCUUAACAGGAGAAGAAGAGUUUUGAAAGAAGAAGCAAAGAAGAAUAAAAGGGUGAGAGUAGUGAAGAUGGAAAUGAAGAACUUGAAAUUGUUCAUGGUAAACCGAAGCAUCAUAGAAGAGAACGAGAAGCUGAGACAGAAAGCUUUGCUGCUUCACCAAGAGAAUCAGGCCCUGUUAUUUCAGCUCCAAACAAAGCUCUCUCAACAACAGAAACAGCAACAACAAUCACUAAUAUGAAUAUAUACUGCUUUUUGCAGAAACUAAUUAGAAGAAUAGGAAGGAAUAGGGGCCUCUGUUCUUUGAUCUUUUGGGGUAGUCUCAUCUCAAUGUCUUCUCUCUCCUCUGUUUUAUUUUCCUUUUCUUUACUCUUUUUUUUGGUUGUCUGGACUCUGGAGUUAACUUAAGUUCUUUGAACAAUUAGCUAGGGUGGGGAAUGAAUAAAGGAAAAAUGGGUUAUUAGCCUUUUUGUGAGUAAUACAUGCAUGGAUUAUAAUGUAUCAUAGUGCAACUAUGAGUCCUUCUAUGAGUAUUACAUGGAAUUUAAUGUAGAACGCAACAACUAUGCAUGUAAUUAUAUAUA